AGGGGUGUAGCUCAUUUGGUAGAGCGCUCGCUUCGCAUGCGAGAGGCACGGGGUUCAAUUCCCCGCACCUCCA
rnacentral:tRNA from 1 species